GUUUGGUCCUAGCCUUAUUAUCAGCUCUUUUUUAACCUACACAUGCAAGUCUCCGCACCCCAGUGAAAACGCCCUUAAGCCUUACCUAGGCAAAGGAGCUGGCAUCAGGCACAGACCCUUGCCCACAACGCCUAGUUUCACCACACCCCCAAGGGUAGUCAGCAGUGAUAAACAUUGUUCAUAAGCGACAGCUUGAUCCAGUUAAAAACAACAGGGCCGGCUAACACGGUGCCAGCCGCCGCGGCUACACCGCUGGGCUCAAGUUGAUAACUUUCGGCGUUAAGCGUGAUUAAAGUAUUUUUGUAAUAGAGUUAAAUAUUAACUCGGCUGUUAUAAGCCUGUUAUUUAGAAAACCACAAACGAAGGUUACUCUAUUUUACUCGAACCCACGACAGUUAGGGAACAAACUGAGAUUAGAUACCCCACUAUGCCUAACCGUAAAAAAUUAACUCACACCACCAAC
rnacentral:rRNA from 1 species